rnacentral:rRNA from 1 species
CCUACGGGUGGCAGCAGUGAGGAAUAUUGCACAAUGGGCGAAAGCCUGAUGCAGCCACGCCGCGUGAGCGAUGAAUGCCUUCGGGUCGUAAAGCUCUGUCCUUAAGGAAGAUAAUGACGGUACUUGAGGAGGAAGCCCCGGCUAACUACGUGCCAGCAGCCGCGGUUAUACGUUGGGGGCUAGCGUUAUCCGGAAUUACUGGGCGUAAAGGGGGGGUAGGUGGUUUGUUAAGUCAGAGGGGAAAGGCUAAGGACUAAACGUAAUAAGGCCGUUGAACCGGGGAACUUUGAGUGCAGGAGAGGAGGGUGGAAUUCGUGGUGUAGCGGUGAAAUGCUUAGAUAUCACGAAGAACUCCGAUUGCGAAGGCAGCUCACUGGACUGUAACUGACACUGAGGCACGAAAGCGUGGGUAUCAAACAGGAUUAGAUACCCUGGUAGUC